UAAAAGGUAAAUAUCUAGGUACCACAAAAUAAGCGGCUCCGUUUAAGGUUAAGCAAAAGAGAGGUUUAUUCAUAAAAUCACUGUGAGUGUGAGGGGAGAAAUCUAAAUAGGAAAAUGGGCAAAAGUCCAAAGUCUGAAACUAAGUUACCCAAGACCAUCACAUGAAGAGAUCAAUCUGUAGCUACACUAACAGGCAAAGUGCCUGGAUGAAGGUGAUCCAGUCAAGAGACUCAGCUGCUGAAAGUCCUGCUGCAUCUGCAUUCCCUUGAUAGUGUGCUCUGCCUGCCUCAGGCUGACGCCAUUCUUAUGCUGAUUGUCCCAAACUCCUGUUGAGGUCACAACACACAUGGGCGUUGACAAAAAAAAAUUUAUAGAAUGAGAAGAUAAUCUACUGACAUUACUUUAGAUGGGCAUGACCUUCGAAGACAUUCUAAUAUCGUUUGAUUUUGGAAUCUUGAUAAUGCAACUAUCAUACUACCAGCAAAAAAUCACAGCUGCUGUAGCCGCCUCUGAUGCCAGGUUCCAGAUGAUAUCUUGAUGCCAACCAGACUUCCCUGGGCAGACAACCCCACCAAUGUGUCCUGGAGCUCCGCUUCCCCAGAGCCCUGACCCACUAGGGAAAGAGAGAGACAGGCUGGGAGUAUGGAUCCACCUGUCAACACCCAUGUUCAGCGGGGAAGCAAUUACAGAAGUCAGACCUUCCACCUUCUGCAUCCCAUAAUGACCUUGGGUCCAUACUCCCAGAGGGAUAAAGAAUAGGAAAGCUAUCAAUGGAGCGUAUUGGAUAUUGAGCUCUGAGUGUGGACAAUGUGUGGAAAUGUACCCCUCUUAUACUCUGGUCUUGUCAUUGUUUCCAUUUUAUAAAUAAAAAGUAAAUAAAUAAAUAGAUGAUUCAGUAAGCUCUGCUGUGUCUGCUUGCUAGAAUUGAGCUGUUAGUCUAGUGGAUCUAUAUAUCUUGGUAAGCAUAGAAGCCUGUCAUGACUUCAGUAUCAUGGAAUUUUUAUUUCAUUUUUGAGACAGUGGUUUUAGCCGAAUAAAAAAAUCAUCUACCAAUGUUUUAGUGGGCCCUGAGUAUGAAGUAAUAUGCAGAGAU